UACGGAGGAUGCAAGCGUUAUCCGGAUUUAUUGGGUUUAAAGGGUGCGCAGGUUGUUUGAUAAGUCAGUGGUGAAAGUCCGUCGCUUAACGGUAGGAUUGCCAUUGAUACUGUUAGACUUGAAUAUGGAUGAGGUAGGCGGAAUGUGUAGUGUAGCGGUGAAAUGCAUAGAUAUUACACAGAACACCGAUUGCGAAGGCAGCUUACUAAUCCAUCAUUGACGCUGAGGCACGAAAGCGUGGGGAUCAAACAGGA
rnacentral:rRNA from 1 species